rnacentral:rRNA from 5 species
AGAGUUUGAUCAUGGCUCAGAUUGAACGCUGGCGGCAGGCCUAACACAUGCAAGUCGAGCGGUAGCACAGAGAGCUUGCUCUCGGGUGACGAGCGGCGGACGGGUGAGUAAUGUCUGGGAAACUGCCUGAUGGAGGGGGAUAACUACUGGAAACGGUAGCUAAUACCGCAUAACGUCGCAAGACCAAAGUGGGGGACCUUCGGGCCUCAUGCCAUCAGAUGUGCCCAGAUGGGAUUAGCUAGUAGGUGGGGUAACGGCUCACCUAGGCGACGAUCCCUAGCUGGUCUGAGAGGAUGACCAGCCACACUGGAACUGAGACACGGUCCAGACUCCUACGGGAGGCAGCAGUGGGGAAUAUUGCACAAUGGGCGCAAGCCUGAUGCAGCCAUGCCGCGUGUGUGAAGAAGGCCUUCGGGUUGUAAAGCACUUUCAGCGGGGAGGAAGGCGUUAAGGUUAAUAACCUUGGCGAUUGACGUUACCCGCAGAAGAAGCACCGGCUAACUCCGUGCCAGCAGCCGCGGUAAUACGGAGGGUGCAAGCGUUAAUCGGAAUUACUGGGCGUAAAGCGCACGCAGGCGGUCUGUCAAGUCGGAUGUGAAAUCCCCGGGCUCAACCUGGGAACUGCAUUCGAAACUGGCAGGCUAGAGUCUUGUAGAGGGGGGUAGAAUUCCAGGUGUAGCGGUGAAAUGCGUAGAGAUCUGGAGGAAUACCGGUGGCGAAGGCGGCCCCCUGGACAAAGACUGACGCUCAGGUGCGAAAGCGUGGGGAGCAAACAGGAUUAGAUACCCUGGUAGUCCACGCCGUAAACGAUGUCGAUUUGGAGGUUGUGCCCUUGAGGCGUGGCUUCCGGAGCUAACGCGUUAAAUCGACCGCCUGGGGAGUACGGCCGCAAGGUUAAAACUCAAAUGAAUUGACGGGGGCCCGCACAAGCGGUGGAGCAUGUGGUUUAAUUCGAUGCAACGCGAAGAACCUUACCUGGUCUUGACAUCCACAGAACUUUCCAGAGAUGGAUUGGUGCCUUCGGGAACUGUGAGACAGGUGCUGCAUGGCUGUCGUCAGCUCGUGUUGUGAAAUGUUGGGUUAAGUCCCGCAACGAGCGCAACCCUUAUCCUUUGUUGCCAGCGGUCCGGCCGGGAACUCAAAGGAGACUGCCAGUGAUAAACUGGAGGAAGGUGGGGAUGACGUCAAGUCAUCAUGGCCCUUACGACCAGGGCUACACACGUGCUACAAUGGCAUAUACAAAGAGAAGCGACCUCGCGAGAGCAAGCGGACCUCAUAAAGUAUGUCGUAGUCCGGAUUGGAGUCUGCAACUCGACUCCAUGAAGUCGGAAUCGCUAGUAAUCGUAGAUCAGAAUGCUACGGUGAAUACGUUCCCGGGCCUUGUACACACCGCCCGUCACACCAUGGGAGUGGGUUGCAAAAGAAGUAGGUAGCUUAACCUUCGGGAGGGCGCUUACCACUUUGUGAUUCAUGACUGGGGUGAAGUCGUAACAAGGUAACCGUAGGGGAACCUGCGGUUG